rnacentral:rRNA from 1 species
GACGAACGCUGGCGGCGUGCUUAACACAUGCAAGUCGAACGGAAAGGCCCUGCUUUUGUGGGGUGCUCGAGUGGCGAACGGGUGAGUAACACGUGAGUAACCUGCCCUUGACUUUGGGAUAACUUCAGGAAACUGGGGCUAAUACCGGAUAGGAGCUCCUGCUGCAUGGUGGGGGUUGGAAAGUUUCGGCGGUUGGGGAUGGACUCGCGGCUUAUCAGCUUGUUGGUGGGGUAGUGGCUUACCAAGGCUUUGACGGGUAGCCGGCCUGAGAGGGUGACCGGCCAAAUUGGGACUGAGAUAAGGCCCAGACUCCUACGGGAGGCAGCAGUGGGGAAUAUUGCACAAUGGGAGGAAGCCUGAUGCAGCAACGCCGCGUGCGGGAUGACGGCCUUCGGGUUGUAAACCGCUUUCGCCUGUGACGAAGCGUGAGUGACGGUAAUGGGUAAAGAAGCACCGGCUAACUACGUG